rnacentral:rRNA from 1 species
GCACAAGCGGUGGAGCAUGUGGUUAAUUCGAUGCAACGCGAAGAACCUUACCUGGUCUUGACAUAGUAAGAACUUUCCAGAGAUGGAUUGGUGCCUUCGGGAGCUUACAUACAGGUGCUGCAUGGCUGUCGUCAGCUCGUGUCGUGAGAUGUUGGGUUAAGUCCCGCAACGAGCGCAACCCUUUUCCUUAUUUGCCAGCGGGUUAAGCCGGGAACUUUAAGGAUACUGCCAGUGACAAACUGGAGGAAGGCGGGGACGACGUCAAGUCAUCAUGGCCCUUACGACCAGGGCUACACACGUGCUACAAUGGUCGGUACAAAGGGUUGCUACCUAGCGAUAGGAUGCUAAUCUCACAAAGCCGGUCGUAGUCCGGAUCGCAGUCUGCAACUCGACUGCGUGAAGUCGGAAUCGCUAGUAAUCGCGGAUCAGCAUGUCGCGGUGAAUACGUUCCCGGGUCUU